rnacentral:rRNA from 1 species
GACAGAGGGGGCAAGCGUUGCUCGGAAUCACUGGGCGUAAAGGGCGCGUAGGCGGGAUGGCAAGUCGGUCGUGAAAUCCUUCGGCUCAACCGAAGAACGUCGGCCGAUACUGCCGUUCUUGAGGGAUGCAGAGGAGAUUGGAAUUCCCGGUGUAGCGGUGAAAUGUGUAGAGAUCAGGAGGAACACCGAUGGCGAAGGCAGGUCUCUGGGCCAUAACUGACGCUGAGAAGCGAAAGCAUGGGGAGCGAACAGG